rnacentral:rRNA from 1 species
UACGUAGGGUGCAAGCGUUAUCCGGAUUUAUUGGGUUUAAAGGGUGCGUAGGCGGCCUAUUAAGUCAGGGGUGAAAGACGGUAGCUUAACUAUCGCAGUGCCUUUGAUACUGAUGGGCUUGAAUGUGCUUGAGGUAGGCGGAAUGUGACAAGUAGCGGUGAAAUGCAUAGAUAUGUCACAGAACACCAAUUGCGAAGGCAGCUUACUAAAGUAUGAUUGACGCUGAGGCACGAAAGCGUGGGGAUCAAACAGG